rnacentral:tRNA from 1 species
GGGCCCGUAGUCUAGCGGUAUGAUGCCCGCCUCACGCGCGGUGGUCCCGGGUUCAAAUCCCGGCGGGCCCA